AUUGAACGCUGGCGGCAUGCCUUACACAUGCAAGUCGAACGGCAGCACGGGUGCUUGCACCUGGUGGCGAGUGGCGAACGGGUGAGUAAUACAUCGGAACGUACCUUAUCGUGGGGGAUAACGCAGCGAAAGCUGUGCUAAUACCGCAUACGCCCUGAGGGGGAAAGCGGGGGAUCGAAAGACCUCGCGCGAUUAGAGCGGCCGAUGCCUGAUUAGCUUGUUGGUGGGGUAAAAGCCCACCAAGGCGACGGUCAGUAGCUGGUCUGAGAGGACGAUCAGCCACACUGGGACUGAGACACGGCCCAGACUCCUGCGGGAGGCAGCAGUGGGGAAUUUUGGACAAUGGGGGCAACCCUGAUCCAGCAAUGCCGCGUGAGUGAAGAAGGCCUUCGGGUUGCAAAGCUCUUUUGUCAGGGAAGAAACACCGGCUCUAACACAGUCCGGGAAUGACGGUACCUGAAGAAUAAGCACCGGCUAACUACGUGCCAGCCGCCGCCGUAA
rnacentral:rRNA from 1 species